rnacentral:rRNA from 1 species
GAUGAACGCUGGCGGCGUGCCUAAUACAUGCAAGUCGAGCGAACAGACGAGGAGCUUGCUCCUCUGACGUUAGCGGCGGACGGGUGAGUAACACGUGGAUAACCUACCUAUAAGACUGGGAUAACUUCGGGAAACCGGAGCUAAUACCGGAUAAUAUAUUGAACCGCAUGGUUCAAUAGUGAAAGACGGUUUUGCUGUCACUGAUAGAUGGAUCCGCGCCGCAUUAGCUAGUUGGUAAGGUAACGGCUUACCAAGGCAACGAUGCGUAGCCGACCUGAGAGGAUGAUCGGCCACACUGGGACUGAGACACGGUCCAGACUCCUACGGGAGGCAGCAGUAGGGAAUUUUCGACAAUGGGCGAAAGCCUGACGGAGCAACGCCGCGUGAAGGAUGAAGGUCUUCGGAUCGUAAAACUCUGUUAUUAGGAAAGAAAAAAUGUGUAAGAAACUAUGCACGUCUUGACGGUACCUAAACAAAAAGCCACGGCUAACUACGUG